rnacentral:rRNA from 1 species
CUUUAUGUCCAGGGCUACACACGUCCUACAGUGCUUACUACAACGGGAAGCAAUACCGUAAGGUGGAGCAAAUCCUUAAAGAUAAGCAUGGUUCGGAUUGAGGGCUGCAAUUCGCCCUCAUGAAGAAGGAAUCGCUAGUAAUCGCAGAUCAGCUUGCUGCGGUGAAUACGUUCUCGGGUCUUGUACACACCGCCCGUCAAGCCAUGGAAGUUCACAAUACCUGAAGUCUCUCUUUAGAGGGCCCAAGGUAGGGUGGAUGACUGGGGCUAAGUCGUAACAAGGUAGCCGUACGGGAACGUGCGGCUGGAUCACCUCCUUUCAAAG